rnacentral:lncRNA from 1 species
UCUAAAUCAUUUAAACCAAUAUUGGUGAAAUUAAUUAACAUUUUAUCUGGUUAUCUAGAUGGAGAAGAAGCCUGGCAUAGAGGAAGAAAAAAACAGAUUUGGAGCCAGAAAGUUCUGAGAUCUAGUCCUGUUUCUGACAUAUAUUGACUGUGUGACCCUGGAUAAGUCACUGAAUCUCUCAGUGUCCCAGAAAACCUUAUACAUUUUCUACAGAGAAGAGGCAUUCAGGAGCCACUGGGUUCAUUGAGUAGAAGAAUAACAUGGUGAGCUCUGUUCUUUGGCAGCUGUGUGGAGAACGAACUAGAAUGGUGAGAGAUAAGCAGCAGAGGAGACCAGGCCUCAUUCUACAUUAGUCUUCUCCAGUGGCCUUCUGAAGACUGUUUCCACAGAGGAAAAGAAAGUAUAUCUUAUGUUUGCAGUCCAGAACCUCUAUACUUUCUACCUUUU